UACGGAGGGUGCGAGCGUUGUUCGGAAUCACUGGGCGUAAAGGGCGUGUAGGCGGUCUGUUAAGUCUGAUGUGAAAGCCCGGGGCUCACCCCCGGAAGUGCAUUGGAUACUGGCGGACUCGAGUCCCGGAGAGGAGGGUGGAAUUCCUGGUGUAGCGGUGAAAUGCGUAGAGAUCGGCAGGAACACCCAGGGGGAAACCAGUGGACUGGGCAUGUGCUGACGCUCAGGUGCGAAAGCGUGGGGAGCGAACCGG
rnacentral:rRNA from 1 species